UGGGGAAUAUUGCACAAUGGGGGAAACCCUGAUGCAGCGACGCCGCGUGAACGAAGAAGGUAUUCGUAUCGUAAAGUUCUGUCCUAUGGGAAGAUAAUGACAGUACCAUAGAAGAAAGCUCCGGCUAAAUACGUGCCAGCAGCCGCGGUAAUACGUAUGGAGCGAGCGUUGUCCGGAAUUAUUGGGCGUAAAGGGUACGCAGGCGGUUUAAUAAGUCGAAUGUUAAAGAUCGGGGCUCAACCCCGCAAAGCAUUGGAAACUGAUAAACUUGAGUAGUGGAGAGGAAAGUGGAAUUCCUAGUGUAGUGGUGAAAUACGUAGAUAUUAGGAGGAAUACCAGUAGCGAAGGCGACUUUCUGGACACAAACUGACGCUGAGGUACAAAAGCGUGGGGAGCAAACAGG
rnacentral:rRNA from 1 species